rnacentral:tRNA from 2 species
GAGUUAUUAGCUCAGUAGGCAGAGCACCUGCCUUUUAAGCAGGGUGUCCGGGGUUCGAAUCCCCGAUAACUCACCA